ensembl:lncRNA
UGGUAGCCAAAUAUUGUAUACCUAGAGAUAAAACAGAUUCUAUAAAAAUAUUGGUUAAUUAAUAUGGGACAGAUAUUCAUGGAGGAGCACUAAUUACAUGUGACAUCUUAUUAUUUGUAUUAAAUGUAGUUGCCCUGGGAGAGAUGGCAAGGUGUCAAUGAACAUAAGGCUCUGAGAAGAGGAACUUUUAUAAGCCAUUACCAGAUACUGCAAACCACCAAACCACCAUAAACCACUGGAAACCACUGGAAACCACUGAAUGGGAGUGAGAAUUAGUGCACUCAUCAAUGUUUAGUCACCACAGAUAUAAGGAAUGAAGGAUAUAAGAGCCUGAAAACAUUCAAGAGAUACACCAAUUGUCUAGAGCUUUUCUCAGAUUAUGAAGACUCUUCAGCUAUCUUAAGGAUUUCUCUGUUCUCUGAAGGCCUUCUACUCAAGGCCAGAAGUGAGAAAGAAGAUGGGAACUGUGCAUUCAAACCUAGGGAUUGAGAAGGGUGGAAUAUGGCUAAUCUUUGAUUCAGUUUUGUUCUGUUGGAGCAUGAGGAGUUGGGUAGAAAACAGCAUGCAGCUUCUGACUGAAAGGGGCACCCUUUAAGUCUUAAAGGAUAUGUUGAUUUAAUGCUUUCUCUAGAUAAGGAUGCAACAUAUGUCAAAUAAAUUAUAUAUUAGAAUGCAGGAGAAUUUGGUUUUAUUUUCACGUUAGCAGAGAAGAUAAAGAAACUUUGUUUAACAGCUGGGUUUGAUCUCCGAGAUAGCAGGGAUGUCUGCUUGGAAAAGACACUUCAAAAGCAGGUUGAACUGACAGAAGUUAUAGCCACAGCUUUGCCAUCUACCUGUACAGUAACAAGUUUUCCUGACAUUCUCUCUGUGUUCAACACAGCUGAGCAGAAAUAAAAUUAAAAAAAUACUUAUGACUGUAAAAAAUUAGACAGCAAAAGGGAAAUAUGUUCUUCUUGAAAUCUUGCUUAUAGAAUUUGUUUCUGUUGAAAGAUUAAAG